UGGGGAAUCUUGCACAAUGGGGGAAACCCUGAUGCAGCGACGCCGCGUGAGCGAUGAAGGUUUUCGAAUCGUAAAGCUCUGUCCUAUGGGAAGAUAAUGACGGUACCAUGGGAGGAAGCCCCGGCUAACUACGUGCCAGCAGCCGCGGUAAUACGUAGGGGGCGAGCGUUGUCCGGAAUUACAGGGCGUAAAGGGUUCGCAGGCGGCAUGGCAAGUCCGAUGUAAAAGGCGAAGGCUCAACCUUCGUAAGCAUCGGAAACUGUCAAGCUUGAGUGAAGGAGAGGCAAGUGGAAUUCCUAGUGUAGCGGUGGAAUGCGUAGAUAUUAGGAGGAAUACCGGUGGCGAAGGCGACUUGCUGGACUUCAACUGACGCUGAGGAACGAAAGCGUGGGUAGCAAACAGG
rnacentral:rRNA from 1 species